UGAGGACAUAAGGAAGCUAUUUAUGUUUGUAUAUUUAACUAGCUGCUCUACUGUAAUUGUCCUCAAAUUUCUCUCCAGUUUUCCAGGAGGAUCGUGAUAUCAUCCACAAACAAUAACUAUUGCCUCUCCUUCUGGAAUUAAACUCAUCCAGUUAUGGCUUCUGUGUUUACUUUCGUUCCCUGGCGUGUUUUGGAGCGGUGGCGACAGGAAGCCUCUGCCACGGAGGGUCACAAGGCGGACACAGUGCCUGCAGCCUGCUCUGGGUUGUGGCUGCUUUAGGCAGACGACAUGGAAUGGCAGAGGGACCCUGACCCCUGACUCCUGGGUUUUCCUCUACAACAGCUCCUGCCUCUGCUGCCUCCCUGGCUUCAGACCCCAGAGACGGUGACCUUGCUCUAGUUUUAGGUGGAAACAGAGGUUUCUGAUGCUGACAGUUCCCACUGGCCAUUUGGACAGUCUUUCCCUCGUGCUUCAACCACCGGCACAAUGUCCAGACUUGCUCCCAUCCCUUGACGAAACAUUCUAGAGACUGCCUAAGUGUCAAUCGAUAAGAAGAUCUUUGUGCUUUCAAGCUGGCUACCAGGGGAGCUGACGUGAAGAGAGGACACAGCACAAGUGCGAGCCACGCGGUUGCCUCUAAGUUGCAGGCACCCCAGAGCCUUCAGCUGCAGACAGUCCCUGUUGAGUCACCAACAGGAAACAUGGAGCAGCUGCCCACCUGGUGACAAAGUGCUCCUCACCUGUGCAAGGGCUGACUCCCAUUCUGCAAGGCCUCUGGCACUGAGGACAGGGAGGAAAGGCAUCUGUGGGCUUACAGUUUCCACAGAGCAGCCUGGACGAUUCCACAUGCUCUGCCUCUUUGUACCUGCAAACAGCCCUGAAGAUCAGCAGGACGAGCUCUCCUGGCGACCCCAGCGAGAGGCACCGAGCUCCUGGGGUCUCCUGCUGCCUGUCUCCCCCAGGCCCCCCCUCAGAGACCACCCUGGCACGUGCUCACCGACCCGACUCUCUCCCGGCCUGGUUAAGAGUUCCCCAAGGGAAAGCAGCUUUGGAGAACCUCACGGACGAGGCAGGUACUGCCCCGAUGUACGGACGAGGGAGUGGAGCAGGAUGGAUGUCCUACCGGGACCGUGCAGAGGUGUCAGCUGGCCCCAGGGGACGUCCUCUGAUCCCGGGUACACAGGGGCUCGAGGAGAUGCUGUUGUGAAUGAGGUAACCCCUGGGGGUCCCAUCACCCCAAGCUCCCACCAGGAACAGCAGGGAAGCUCCGGACAUGGCCUCCUGUCACACCUGCAAACGUCCAGCUAUAAGCUCGCGCGACCUCCCCAGGAACCUCGCAUCUCUGAGCUUUGCUCCGUGAUGCAUAAGGUGGGUCCUUGUGGUACCUGGUUCCCUCGAUGCCACAGAGAGAGCGUCGUGCGUGAAAAUGCCCCACGGACAAGCAGAGGCUCGCGAAGGGAGGAGCACAUGUAG
rnacentral:lncRNA from 12 species